GCCCAGUUAGCUUAGUUGGUAGUGCGUCUGCCUUGUAAGCGCUAGGCCGCGGGUUCGAUUCCCGCCCGGGGCG
rfam:Asian citrus Psyllid, Diaphorina citri - Florida Strain, whole genome shotgun sequence.